GCAACACAAAAAAAUAAUAAAAUAAAAUCAUUGAUAAAAUAAAAAUUUUAAUUCAUUUUUUAAUAAUUUUUUCAUUUCCUAUUUUCUUUCUCCUUCAAAAUGAAUAAAUAAGCCCAAAAUAAAACAAUAAAUAAAAAUAUAAUUUUGCCAUGUACAAUACAUGUUGUUGACUUUAUAUUUGACUAUAUAAGACCAACUAUUUUUUAAAAAAAAUUUUAAACAAAAAAAAUAAUGCGAAUUACAAACAUAAGUAAAUAAAACAUUGUUUAUCCUACUGUUUAUCUUCUUCCUGGUAGAAAGAUAAAGAAAAGAAAAGAAAAAAUAACCAAACUCAAACCCAGUAUUGAAAAUACAAUUAGAUCUUAAGAUUAGCUAAAUUGCAAAUGAUUUUCAAUGUAAACCACCGACAAUGACACCGAAAAUAGAAAAUUCAUAAAAACAAAAACAUCCAAAUCAAGACAUUAAGAAAUAUGCAGAAAAUAUUAAUAUCUAGAUCGAAAAUCCUCCUUCAACAAUGGUGGCACACUCUAAAAUCCUCCACUCCCAAGCCUCCUUCCCUCUCUUCAACGAACGCAAGCCUUCUUCCCUCUUAUUCUGCUUCCCUUGUACUUCAUCUCUACAAUACCAAAAAUCAUUCAAAGCCACUGAAACUUUUAAGUUUUGCCAGUAGUUACUGGCUACCCAAAAUUGAUAUCCACAGUACUUAAAUUCAUAUAAAACAAGUUAUUGAUUCUAAAAUUAUAGCUAAACUUCCUCAUUACCACAACCACCACCAUCACCAUCUUUAAACUUCCUUUGUCUUAGCUGUGAGUGGAUUUGAAAUUGGGAAGAACGCUGUAAAAAAAUUUGGGGAUAAAAAAGAUUGAGAUUAGAAAGAAACUGAGAGGGGCGUCGGCGAUUUCUUCUUUUGUCGGAGAAGGAGUCGACUAUGUUCAGUAGAUGAGGAAGAGGAAGUAGAAGUGUAAGGUUUCAGUCGAAAAGGGUUUCAAUCGGUCUGAUACAUGAGGGGGGAGAAGGAAGUGUAUAACAUUUGGCUCUUCUUUUGGAUUUGGGGAUUUGAAUGAGGGAUUUGGUAUUUGAGGGAUUUGGGAUCUUGUUGGAGGAGACAAAGGAUGAUGAGACAGAGGAUUUGGUAUUUUGAUUAUUUGUAUUAUUUAAAAUUAAAAUAAUUAAAAGAAAGGAAAAGGGAUAAAG
rnacentral:lncRNA from 1 species